AAAACAGUCAGGAGGUUGGCUUAGAAGCAGCCACCCUUUAAAGAAAGCGUAAUAGCUCACUGAUCGAGUCGUCCUGCGCGGAAGAUGUAACGGGGCUCAAACUGUGCACCGAAGCUAGGGAUUUACAUGUAAGUGUAAAUGGUAGGAGAGCGUUCCGUAAGCCUACGAAGGUGACUUGUAAAGGUUGCUGGAGGUAUCGGAAGUGCGAAUGCUGACAUGAGUAGCGAUAAAGGGAGUGAAAGGCUCCCUCGCCGAAAACCCAAGGUUUCCUGUGCAACGUUCAUCGGCGCAGGGUGAGUCGGCCCCUAAGGUGAGGCAGAAAUGCGUAGCUGAUGGGAAACUGGUUAAAAUUCCAGUACCUUUUAUCAAUGCGAUGUGGGGACGGAGAAGGUUAACUCAGCCGGGUGUUGGAUGUCCCGGUUCAAGCGUGUAGACAUGCUGCUUAGGCAAAUCCGGGCAGCUGAGUUGAGACGUGAUAACGCAACACUCUUCGGAGUGCCAAGUGAGCGAUACCAUGCUUCCAGGAAAAGCCACUAAGCUUCAGUUGAUAAGAGACCGUACCGUAAACCGACACAGGUGGGUAGGAUGAGAAUUCUAAGGCGCUUGAGAGAACUCAGGAGAAGGAACUCGGCAAAAUUGCACCGUAACUUCGGGAGAAGGUGUGCCCUUUGUACGUGUAGCGCUUCGCGCGUGAAGCGGAAAGGGGUUGCAAUAAAAAGGUGGCUGCGACUGUUUAUUAAAAACACAGCACUCUGCAAACACGAAAGUGGACGUAUAGGGUGUGACGCCUGCCCGGUGCUUGAAGGUUAAUUGAUGGGGUUAGCUUCGGCGAAGCUCUUGAUCGAAGCCCCAGUAAACGGCGGCCGUAACUAUAACGGUCCUAAGGUAGCGAAAUUCCUUGUCGGGUAAGUUCCGACCUGCACGAAUGGUGCAACGAUCUGGGCACUGUCUCAGCCAUGAGCUCGGUGAAAUUGAAGUAUCGGUGAAGAUGCCGAUUACCCGCAACGGGACGGAAAGACCCCGUGAACCUUCACUACAGCUUAACAUUGAUUCUGGUCAUAUAAUGUGUAGGAUAGGCGGGAGAUAUUGAAGCGGUGUCGCCAGGCAUCGUGGAAUCAAUCUUGAAAUACCGCCCUUUAUGUGAUUGGGAUCUAAUCCUAGGGGAGACAUUGUUAGGUGGGUAGUUUGACUGGGGUGGUCGCCUCCAAAAAAGUAACGGAGGCUUUCAAAGGUGUCCUCAGUACGGUUGGUAAUCGUACGAAGAGCGCAAUAGC
rnacentral:rRNA from 1 species